rnacentral:rRNA from 1 species
UACGAAGGGGGCUAGCGUUGCUCGGAAUCACUGGGCGUAAAGAGUUCGUAGGCGGCGCAGAAAGUGGGGUGUGAAAGCCCUCGGCUUAACCGAGGAACUGCGCUCCAAACUACUGGGCUAGAGGAAGAUAGAGGUGAGCAGAACUGAUGGUGGAGCGGUGAAAUGCGUUGAUAUCAUCAGGAAUACCGGAGGCGAAGGCGGCUCACUGGGUCUUUUCUGACGCUGAGGAACGAAAGCUAGGGGAGCAAACGGG